UAUCAGUCAUGCAUAGCAUAUCAAUAAGCGGAGGAAAAGAAACUAACAAGGAUUCCCUUAGUAACGGCGAGUGAAGCGGGAAGAGCUCAAAUUUGAAAUCUUCAAGGUUUUACCUUGACGAAUUGUAGUUUAAAGAAGUGUUUUCUGUUGAAGUUUUGGUAAAAGUUCUUUGGAAUAGGACAUCAUAGAGGGUGAGAAUCCCGUAUUUGACCAUUACUUUCAGCUUUGUGAUACACUUUCAAAGAGUCGGAUUGUUUGGGAAUGCAGUCCAAAAUGGGUGGUAAAUUUCAUCUAAAGCUAAAUAUUGGCGAGAGACCGAUAGCGAACAAGUACCGUGAGGGAAAGAUGAAAAGAACUUUGAAAAGAGAGUUAAACAGUACGUGAAAUUGUCAAAAGGGAAGCGUUUGACACCAGUGUUGUUUUCUCGAAAAUCAAUUAAAAAGAGUUGGAUCUUGUGUUGUAUUGACUUUAUCGGCUUUCUUCACUCUUUUCCAGCUUUUUUUAAUGCACUUUUCGUUUAACAAGUCAACAUCAGUUUCUUUUGUUGUAAAAAGGUCAUUGGAAGGUGGCUUUCUCUUCGGAGAAAGUGUUUAUAGCCUUUGACUCAUGCAAUCGGAGAGACUGAGGUCUGCAGCGUAGAUCCUUCGGGGUUAGAUACAUUUGUGCUAAGUUAUAGCUUUUCAUAGACAACUUGUUGACUAUGUUUAGUCUUGUAGCUUACUCGCUUAUGCUAUUUUACCUACGCUUAGGAUGUUGAACUCUAUCACACACAG
rnacentral:rRNA from 1 species